AAUGUCAUCGAAAAAGAAUAAAAUCUCGGUUAUGUAUUAUGGUAAAAUUGUUAUCGCUACAUCUAAGUUAAGUCGGGGGUUUUGAGUUAUUUUAUUCUUUUUCGAUGAGAUUUUUACCGUCGUGGGUAAAAAUAGACUCGAUCAGCUGAUUGGAUUUGUAUGGAAAAACGUAAUAUUUUUUUGAGAUUUCGACAUUGAUUCCAUAAAGAAACUAGUUAUGAAUGAGACACCGACUGACUUCCUAAAAUUUUGCUAUGGGAGAGAGUAUGAAUCAACAGCUUGCCGAGCUUCUUGCAGAACCAUCUGGGGAGUUCGAUAAUUUCGUUCGAAUGUCAUGCACUGAUUUUGAAUACCUGCUACAAAAAAUUUCUCCGAUGGUUUCUAAGCAAGAUACUACUUGGAGGAAAGCUGUACCAACAAAAAUACGACUUGCAUUGACAUUGAGAUUUUUAGCUACUGGAGAUGACUACAGAAGCUUACACUACCUAUUUAAAAUAUCAAGUUCACUUAUCUCACGCAUAAGAAUCGAAUGUUUGGCACUCAAUGAUGUUUUGCAAGAUAUGAUUAAAAAGCGAGUCGAUAUACAAAUACAAGAAAUUGCCUACAAAAAAAAACAGGCUUUAUAAUUGUAUCCUCUGGAAGAGCCUUCAGUUCGCAAUAAGUAAAAUCAAUUAGAAAUAAUUCAGCCGCUAUUGACAAGUUGUAAGUUAAACCACACAACUUUUAC